rnacentral:rRNA from 1 species
GAUGAACGCUAGCUACAGGCUUAACACAUGCAAGUCGAGGGGCAGCAUGAACUUAGCUUGCUAAGUUUGAUGGCGACCGGCGCACGGGUGAGUAACACGUAUCCAACCUGCCGAUGACUCGGGGAUAGCCUUUCGAAAGAAAGAUUAAUACCCGAUGGCAUAGUUCUUCCGCAUGGUAGAACUAUUAAAGAAUUUCGGUCAUCGAUGGGAUGCGUUCCAUUAGGUUGUUGGCGGGGUAACGGCCCACCAAGCCUUCGAUGGAUAGGGGUUCUGAGAGGAAGGUCCCCCACAUUGGAACUGAGACACGGUCCAAACUCCUACGGGAGGCAGCAGUGAGGAAUAUUGAUAAAUGGACGAGAGUCUGAACCAGCCAAGUAGCGUGAAGGAUGACUGCCCUAUGGGUUGUAAACUUCUUUUAUACGGGAAUAAAGUGAGGCACGUGUGCCUUUUUGUAUGUACCGUAUGAAUAAGGAUCGGCUAACUCCGUG